AUGGGAAGGGACACCCAAACCCCAACCGCAGUGCUGCACAGCGCUCAGCCGCGGACGGGCUGUAUGUUGAGACCAUCGCAGUGCUAUGGAACGAGCUUUGGGAACGCAGGGGCAACUCUGGCCGGGCAGCCAGCUGCACUCCGGUCCGGUUGGCAACUUCUAUGGAAAGCGCAGGGGUAAAGAGAGCAGCGCUGUUAAAAUCCAAAACGCAAACCUAAAAUAAACAGGGUUAGGGCUGGAGGGCAGUACAAAUAUUUACAGCUAACACUCAGACGCAGAACAACCUCCGCUUUGCCAACAUUCGCACAACCUAAACUUCAGCCCUUCCCAGCAGCGCUCAUCCUUGGGGCACACGGAGCUGCAGCACGGUCAGGAGAUGCGCCAGAGCCCCGGGGCAGCCCGAGGAGCCCUACGGCAACCCGGGCCUGACCCACACUCGCCGUCGGCAGCUCGCUAAGCUCCUUCUAAUUGCGGCAGCCUGCGGGUUAUUAUCAUUUAAACGCUCAGAGCACAGCGCGGAGGAACGGCUUUGUUCGCCCCGAGCCCGCUCCCAUCCGCCGCAGCUCUCACCUGGAGGGCCGGAGCCGCACCUCCUUCUUGCUGUCCACCACCGAGGGCACGCAGUUGGUCAGCUCGGUCCAGUCGGCGUGCAGCCCGCAGCUCCAGCCGGUGGAGAAGCGCGAGAAGAGCCACGUCUCCCGCUUGCCGGGCCGGUGGCAGGUGCACUUCUUCUGCCCGGCGCGGCACUCGCAGGGCUGCUCCAGCUGGAUGUUGCGGACCAGGUGGCGGCCGAAGGUGGUGCCGCCCGUCUUCUGGAUGUGCAGGAAGACGAUCAGGUCGUCCCCUUUGAUGUUGAAGUCCACCCUCCGCAGCAAAUCGCCGGCGGAGAAAUUGAAACGAGGCACGAAGCGGGCCGGCGUCUCGUCCUCCGCCCGGUACGGGUCGGCGGCUGCGGCGGGGCUGAGGGCGCGGAGCCGCAGCAGCUGGCACUCGGUGCCGGGGCAGACGUACUGCAGCACGAUCACCGCGAAGAGGAAGAGCAUCACCAGCGCCCGCAGNNNNNNNNNNNNNNNNNNNNNNNNNNNNNNNNNNNNNNNNNNNNNNNNNNNN
rnacentral:lncRNA from 1 species